rnacentral:rRNA from 1 species
GACUUUAAGUAGAUUAGAGUGUGCUAGCUUGCUAGAAUUUAGAUACAGGUGCUGCACGGCUGUCGUCAGCUCGUGUCGUGAGAUGUUGGGUUAAGUCCCGCAGCGAGCGCAACCUCGUGUUUAGUUGCUAACAGUUCGGCUGAGAACUCUAAACAGACUGCCUACGCAAGUAGGAGGAAGGUGAGGACGACGUCAAGUCAUCAUGGCCCUUACGGCCAGGGCUACACACGUGCUACAAUGGGGUAUACAAAGAGCAGCGAUACGGUGACGUGGAGCAAAUCUAGAAAAUGCCUCUCAGUUCGGAUUGUAGUCUGCAACUCGACUACAUGAAGUUGGAAUCGCUAGUAAUCGUAGAUCAGCAAUGCUACGGUGAAUACGUUCCCGGGUCUU